rnacentral:rRNA from 1 species
GACGAACGCUGGCGGCGUGCUUAACACAUGCAAGUCGAACGGAAAGGCCUGCUUUCCCUUGUGGAUUGCGGGUACUCGAGUGGCGAACGGGUGAGUAACACGUGAGUGAUCUGCCCCCAACUUGGGUAUAAGCCUGGGAAACUGGGUCUAAUUCCCGAUAGGACUGCAGGGUGGUGCCUGUGGUGGAAAACGAUUUUCUAGUGGUUGGGGAUGAGCUGGCGGCCUAUCAGCUUGUUGGUGGGGUAAUGGCCUACCAAGGCGGCGACGGGUAGCCGGCCGGAGAGGGUGGACGGCCACAUUGGGACUGAGAUACGGCCCAGACUCCUACGGGAGGCAGCAGUGGGGAAUAUUGCACAAUGGGCGGAAGCCUGAUGCAGCGACGCCGCGUGGGGGAUGACGGCCUUCGGGUUGUAAACUCCUUGCGACCGCGAGGAAGCCACCUGGUUGGAAGGGUGGUGACGGUAGUGGUAGAAGAAGCACCGGCUAACUACGUG